AUAACUUACCCUUAGGACUGGGAUAACUCUGGGAAACUGGGGAUAAUACCGGAUAUUAGGCUAUGCCUGGAAUGGUUUGCCUUUGAAACGUUCUUUUCGCCUAAGGAUCGAUCUGCGGCUGAUUAGGUCGUUGGUGGGGUAAUGGCCCACCAAGCCUAUGAUCGGUACGGGUUGUGAGAGCAAGAGCCCGGAGAUGGAGCCUGAGACAAGGUUCCAGACCCUACGGGGUGCAGCAGGCGCGAAACCUCCACAAUGUACGAAAGUGCGUUGGGGGAAUCCCAAGUGUUAUUCUUAACAGAAUAGCUUUUCAUUAGUGUAAAAAGCUUUUAGAAUAAGAGCUGGGCAAGACCGGUGCCAGCCGCCGCGGUAACACCGGCAGCUCGAGUGGUAGCUGUUUUUAUUGGGCCUAAAGCGUUCGUAGCCGGUUUGAUUAGUCUUUGGUGAAAGCUUGUAGCUUAACUAUAAGAAUUGCUGGAGAUACUAUCAGACUUGAAGUCGGGAGAGGUUAGAGGUACUACCGGGGUAGGGGUGAAAUCCUAUAAUCCUGGGAGGACCACCUGUGGCGAAAGCGUCUAACUAGAACGAUCUUGACGGUGAGUAACGAAAGCCAGUGGCGCGAACCGGAUUAGAUACCCGGGUAGUCCUGGCCGUAAACGAUGUGGACUUGGUGUUGGAAUGGCUUCGAGUUGUUCCAGUGCCGAAGGGAAGCUGUUAAGUCCACCGCCUGGGAAGUACGGUCGCAAGACUGAAACUUAA
rnacentral:rRNA from 1 species